rnacentral:rRNA from 1 species
CCCUUAGAGUUUGAUCCUGGCUCAGGAUGAACGCUAGCGGCAGGCCUAAUACAUGCAAGCUGAACGGUAAAUAUUGUAGCAAUACGAUAUGAGAGUAGCGUAAGGGUGCGUAACACGUAUGCAAUCUGCCCUGUACAGGAGAAUAGCUCGGCGAAAGCCGGAUUAAUACUCCGUAAUAUUAUUGGAAGGCAUCUUUUGAUAAUUAAAGUCGCAAGACGGUAUGGGAUGAGCAUGCGUCUGAUUAGCUAGUUGGUGGUGUAACGGACUACCAAGGCGAUGAUCAGUAGGGGAACUGAGAGGUUGAUCCCCCACACUGGCACUGAGAUACGGGCCAGACUCCUACGGGAGGCAGCAGUAGGGAAUAUUGGUCAAUGGGUGAGAGCCUGAACCAGCCAUGCCGCGUGCAGGAAGAAGGCCUUCUGGGUUGUAAACUGCUUUUGCCGGGGGAUAAAAUUCCCAUGCGUGGGACAUUGAAGGUACCCGGUGAAUAAGCCACGGCUAACUACGUGCCAGCAGCCGCGGUAAUACGUAGGUGGCAAGCGUUGUCCGGAUUUAUUGGGUUUAAAGGGUGCGUAGGCGGCCUAUUAAGUCAGUUCUGAAAUAUCCCGGCUUAACCGGGAGGGUGGGAUUGAUACUGAUGGGCUUGAGUGGACUCGAAGUAGGCGGAAUUGACGGUGUAGCGGUGAAAUGCUUAGAUAUCGUCAAGAACACCGAUAGUGUAGACAGCUUACUAGAUUUCAACUGACGCUGAGCACGAAAGUGUGGGGAUCAAACAGAUUAGAUACCCUGGUAGUCACACUGUAACGUGAUACUCGCUGUGUGCGAUAUACAGUA